UACGUAGGGUCCGAGCGUUGUCCGGAAUUAUUGGGCGUAAAGGGCGCGUAGGCGGUCAGCACAAGUCAGUUGUGAAAUCUCCGGGCUUAACUCGGAAAGGUCAACUGAUACUGUGAGGCUAGAGUACGGAAGAGGCGAGUGGAAUUCCUGGUGUAGCGGUGGAAUGCGCAGAUAUCAGGAGGAACACCAAUAGCGAAGGCAGCUCGCUGGGACGUUACUGACACUGAGGCGCGAAAGCGUGGGGAGCGAACAGG
rnacentral:rRNA from 1 species